rnacentral:rRNA from 1 species
GUAGGUGGCAAGCGUUAUCCGGAAUUAUUGGGCGUAAAGCGCGCGUAGGCGGUUUUUAAGUCUGAUGUGAAAGCCCACGGCUCAACCGUGGAGGGUCAUUGGAAACUGGGAAACUUGAGUGCAGAAGAGGAAAGUGGAAUUCCAUGUGUAGCGGUGAAAUGCGCAGAGAUAUGGAGGAACACCAGUGGCGAAGGCGACUUUCUGGUCUGUAACUGACGCUGAUGUGCGAAAGCGUGGGGAUCAAACAGGAUUAGAUACCCUGGUAGUCCACGCCGUAAACGAUGAGUGCUAAGUGUUAGGGGGUUUCCGCCCCCCUUAGUGCUGCAGCUAACGCAUUAAGCACUCCGCCUGGGAGUACGACCGCAAGGUUG